rnacentral:lncRNA from 1 species
GACAAUAUGUAAUUCACUCAUGGGAGAUCAGACUCGAUCCUCGUUCAAGUACCUCCUUAAUUAAUAAAUUCUAAAGACUGCGUAUCACACCAAAAAUUAGUACAUAUUUCUCAAGUGUGUGCAUAUAUAUAUAUAUAGCUUGAAGAUUGAUAAUAUAGAGAGCUAGGCAAAAAACAGGAAAGAGUUGAGGAAGAAACAGUUAGCUAGCUUACUUGGCCGGAGGUUUAGCAACCGGAUCAUUAGAGGCGGCACCACCACCACCACCAAGAAGGUUCUUCUCUUUGGGCAGAUUCUUGAUCACAACUGAUGAGUCCGCUUGAUCCACCCCAUCAUCAGCCAUAAUAUUUUCUGUGGAAGAAACUAGAUUCAGCUUCAAAUCCACAACAUGAGUUUCAGCAAACCCUCUCUUCCCAUUAACAUUUGUAGUACUAACAUUAAUUUUGGCCUUCGUAUCGCCGGAAAAUCCAAGUCCUAGCCGUAAUUCCGUCUCCUCAAAAUUCAUCCUUCCUUUUUCUCCUCCCAUAAGUCUUGAUUAAUUACAAUCACAACUAAACAAUUUCUCUCCAAAACUAAUUUAAUUUCUUGUACGUGUUUGAAUAUUUCCUUUCCUUUCCUUUCCUUUCCUUUCUUGCCUUGUCUUGUUGAUAUGUUGUGGGGUGGAAUUAAGUUGGAGUUGUGUUUUAUUUUGGAAGUCAGAGAAAUUGUGAAAGUAAGUAAGUAAUUAAGUUGGUGUAUAGUAUAGUAUGUAUAGUAUAGUAAGAUAGAAAUAAUUAAUUAUAGAUAGAAAAUAAAGGGAAUCGAAGGGAAGGGGGUGUUUGGGUGAAAUGGGGUAUUAGUAUACGGAUGGUAUGGUAUGUAAUAAUGGACGGGCCUCAUUCGUCUUUUACUCACUUUCAUAAUUGCGGUCUUGUAUCGUGCCUACUUUCUUAGCUGGAUCUUCCCAUCUUGCUGGGGGCAAUCCAUACAUACUUGCCCGUGCAUAUAUAUAUAUAUAUAGAGAGAGAGNNNNNNNNNNNNNNNNNNNNNNNNNNNNNNNNNNNNNNNNNNNNNNNNNNNNNNNNNNNNNNNNNNNNNNNNNNNNNNNNNNNNNNNNNNNNNNNNNNNNAUAUAUAUAUAUAUAUAUAUAUAUAUGGGAUGCUUAAGUGUAAAUUAAAUAAGUUAUGUUCAAACCUACGUACGUGUCCUGUACAAAUUUUGAUAUAAAGUGGUGAAAUUUAGUUUGUGAGAAAUCUAGCUAGCUAGCUAGCUAAUUGGUUAAUGUGUUUACGUACGUACGUACCAAUGGUGAAGGAAUUGAACAUCUUGCCUAGGGCAUCAGAAAGUUCUUGGUAGCUCUUGUACAUCUUGAGAUCGACUUUGCGGAGAUAUGGUGCACCGUCUAAGCUCACCUUCACUAAGGUGGCGCCGGCAGAACUGCCAAUGUGGCUGCUCACCUUCUCACUAGUCUCCUCACGAGUACUGCUGCUUUUCUGGACGGAAAGGAUAUUCUUUCGGAAUGAUCGAACGGGCGGCCAACCCACAACCUGUGCCCUGAUCCCAAAAAAGUAACUCUUAAUUUUAUAAACAGUCUUAUUAAUUGUAAAAUUUAUAAAUGUUAAAUUUUUUUAAUACUCUUUUAUUUCUUAAUUUGAGGUAUUUUUUUGAACAUUUAACAACAUCCUUAUUUCAUCAAGUGAGAAGUGAAUAUAAUUAGAAUAAGGUGUUAGCCCGUUGACAAUAUAUAAUUCACUCAUGGGAGAUCAGACUCGAUCCUCGUUCAAGUACCUCCUUAAUUAAUAAAUUCUAAAGACUGCUGCUAUUCACACCAAAAAUGAGUACAUAUUUCUCAAGUGUGUGCAUAUAUAUAUAUAUAUAUAUAUAUAUAUAUAUAUACACCCAAAUUAAACCAUACAAACUUAUAACAUUGAUGACACCUUUAAAAUUUUAAGAUCGAUUCAUAUAUACUUAACAUAUUUUAUUUAGUUUGAUAUCAUAUAUAUAUAUAUAUAUAGCUUGAAGAUUGAUAAUAUAGAGAGCUAGGCAAAAAAUAGGAAAAAGUUGAGGAAGAAACAGUUAGCUAGCUUACUUGGCCGGAGGUUUAGCAACCGGAUCACCACCACCACCACCACCACCACCACCAAGAAGGUUCUUCUCUUUGGGCAGAUUCUUGAUCACAACUGAUGAGUCCGCUUGAUCCAC